UGGAACUAUCUUUCAGGGUUGCCUGAAUCUGGGUCUCCCAGCCAUGGUCACUUUUAUUUGGCUCUGAUAAACUCCAUUCCUUUGAAGGAAGAGGUUAUGUCAAUUUAAUUUAGCUCAGCAAAAGAAGCCAUUUCUCCAUUCUCAGGACAUGUUUACAUCCACAUUUGGGCAAUUAUGAGGAAACCUGCUAUAUUUGGGGUAUCAACCAAGGCCUAAACAUUCUUUCCUUGGCACUCUGUACCCUCCCACUGUUUCUUUGAAGACUCCCUUCAUUCCUUUUACCCUCACCCUCUCCCAACACAUCCUUCCUGAAGUGGCUUGCCAACCUCUGUGUCUUAACAUAAAGCCAAGACUUUUUCUCGUCUCCCUCCAACCCCCCAGCAGCGGUUGAAUUUUCAGUUGGCCUUCCCUAUUGUUUUUUUCUCCAACUCUAAUAAAAAUGGUUCUCAAAUUCCAC